rnacentral:tRNA from 2 species
GGAGAAGUACCCAAGUGGUUGAAGGGGCUCGCCUGGAAAGUGAGUAGGUCGUGAAUAGCGGCGCAAGAGUUCGAAUCUCUCCUUCUCCG